CGCCUCUUGAUUUUUAUAAGAGGUCCCGCCUGCCCUGUGACAAUGUUUAACGGCCGCGGUAUUUUGACCGUGCGAAGGUAGCGUAAUCAUUUGUCUUUUAAAUGAAGACCUGUAUGAAAGGCAUCACGAGAGUUUAACUGUCUCUAUUUUCUAAUCGAUGAAAUUGAUCUUCCCGUGAAGAAGCGGGAAUAAUACCAUUAGACGAGAAGACCCUAUGGAGCUUCAAACACUUAGAUUAAUUUUUAAAAAAUUUUCUUCCCCAAGGGCUAAAUCACAUAUAUUUUUUUAAUUUAACUGUUUUUGGUUGGGGUGACCAAGGGGAAAAAUAAAUCCCCCUUAUCGAUUGAGUACUAAGUACUUAAAAACUAAAGCGACAGCUUUAGUUGAUAAAACAUUUAUCGAACAAUGACCCAGAACUUACUGAUCAAUGAACCAAGUUACCCUAGGGAUAACAGCGCAAUCCUUUCCUAGAGUUCCUAUCGCCGAAAGGGUUUACGACCUCGAUGUUGGAUCAGGACAUCCUAAUGGUGCAACCGCUAUUAAGGGUUCGUUUGUUCAACGAUUAAUAGUCCU
rnacentral:rRNA from 1 species